AUUUAUAGCACAUUUAUACAUGAAAAAAAUCAAGUUACCAUUUUAUAUUUUGUGAUAGUGAGAUAUAGAUGACAAAAGUGUUAAUGUUUCUAUGUUGUAUCUUUCAAAUAUGAAGUUUCGAGCCAAGUCAUGCCAGUCCAUCAUGGUGUAAAGUCGCUGUCCAAUGUACACCAGAAGCAUGGCACACCGUGCUUCACAGUAUGAGGUACAAAAUAAUAUUUUGACAAUGAAUAAUCACACAAUGUAAAUACUAUAUGCAAAUAAUUUCUGUAUUGAACUAUUUUGUGUAUCUAUUAUAUUCUAUAUUUUGUUGUAAAAGUGUAGUGUGGAUGACAAAUGAACGUAUACUGUGAAUGACAUAUAAAAGUUUAGAUCUGAUACAAUUUGUACACAGUUAACUGAUGAUAUUUGUAUUCAGGCACCCAGUGUCAUGCCUCACACUGCUGCAGAUUAUUACCACCUUCUUUUACAAUUAUUUAGUCAGUGUACAUAUUGUUUUUGACAAAUCUAUGUUAAAAUUAUUUUUAUAUUUUUCAGGUCCCACAAUGAUAUGGAAGAGUAUAAAUGCGACAAAACCCUUUCCAUAUUCAUAAGAAAUCUUUGUAAAAAAACAGUUGAUGUUGGACCCUAUUUCCAUGUUUGAGGGGAGAAAGAUUUCCUCAUCUUACUCACGAGUAGAUGCAUAUGGAUCACCAGAAUUACCUUGAUGCCAAGCAUAACUGCACCUCAAGAGCAUCUCAGACUAUAACAUAUCUUCAGAUUUUUUUUUCUUGGAAUAUUUUGUGGUCAAGCAUUACAUUGCCUAUGAAAGAACAACUCUUGUUGUGUAUACAGGUGUAAACAUAUUAAAGUUCUAUCUGAACAUUUUGCUGAAGUAUUGGCUCUGUAAAUGAUGUCUGUGACCAUCAGAAUACACCAUAUACACUGGACACUUGCUGGAACAGGACCUACUUGUCAUCAACAUGGUGUUGCAGAACAUCUUGGGACUCUCUCAUAAAGUCCAGUGUGAAUCUAGAUACUGACACCAGUAACAGUGCAUGCUGGCACAUUUAUUUGUUCAGGCUUGGCAUUUGGGAAUAUUUGCCAUGAAUGUUUAAUACUCAUGACCUUGAAAUAAAAUUACUGAAUAGAG
rnacentral:lncRNA from 1 species